rnacentral:rRNA from 1 species
CAGUAGCCGCGGGAAUACGAAGGGGGCUAGCGUUGUUCGGAUUUACUGGGCGUAAAGCGCACGUAGGCGGACUUUUAAGUCAGGGGUGAAAUCCCGGGGCUCAACCCCGGAACUGCCUUUGAUACUGGAAGUCUUGAGUAUGGUAGAGGUGAGUGGAAUUCCGAGUGUAGAGGUGAAAUUCGUAGAUAUUCGGAGGAACACCAGUGGCGAAGGCGGCUCACUGGACCAUUACUGACGCUGAGGUGCGAAAGCGUGGGGAGCAAACAGGAUUAGAUACCCCGGUAGUCCCUGUCUCUUAUAC